rnacentral:lncRNA from 10 species
GUGAAAGCGAAGAGAGGCUGGGAUGAAGGGUGCAAAGGGAUAGUAAAGAAAGCAUGUUUGAGAUCCAGAACAGAAUAAUGGGUUGUUGAGGGAGGUAUUGAGGAUAGGAGAGUAUAUGGGUUUGGCACCAAGGGAGGGGGAUAGGAAAAACAGUUUUGUUUAUAAGGCGCAGAUCCUGAACUAACCUGUAAGGCUUGUCUGGUUUUAGGACAGGUAAAAUGGGGGAAUUGUAAGGGGAGUUUAUAGGCUUUAAAAGGCCACGCUGUAGCAGGCAAGUGAUAACAGGCUUUAAUCCUUUUAAAGCAUUCUGUGGGAUGGGAUGUUGGCAUUGAGCGGGGUAAGGGUGAUUAGGUUUUAAUGGGAUGGUAAUGGGCAUAUGAUCGGUUGCCAGAGAAGGAAUAGAGAUGUCCUAUACUUGUGGGUUAAGGUUGGGGGAUACGAGAGGAAGAUGCAAAUGAGGCUUUGGGUUGGGGAGAAGGGCGGCAAUGAGAUGCAGCUGUAGUCCAGGAAUAGUCAGGGAAGCAGAUAAUUUAGUUAAAGUGUCUCGGCCUAAUAAGGGAACUGGGCAGGUGGGGAUAAUUAAAAAAGAGUGCAUAAAAGAGUAUUGUCUAAGUUGGCACCAGAGUUGGGGAGUUUUAAGAGGUUUAGAAGCCUGGCCAUCAAUACCUACAACAGUUAUGCAGGCAAGGGAAACAGGCCCUGAAAAUAAGGUAAUGUGGAGUGAGUAGCCUCCAUAUUGAUUAAGAAGGGGACAGAUUUACCCUCUACUGUGAGAGUUACCUAGAGUGUCUGUGAUGGUCCUGUAGGCUUCAUGAGGUGAUCAGGCAGUGUCAGUCUUCAGCUGCUAAGCCGAGAAGAUCUGGGAAGGAGUCAGUCAGAGAGCCUUGGGCCAGAGUUCCAGGGGCUUUGGAAGUGGCUGCCAGAACACGGAGUCCCCUUCGGAAUCCUCGGAGUCAAGCUCUGUGGAAGCAGGAACUGCUUUUGGUUAUCCUUGAAUAAGCAGAUGAAGAAACAAAGCUCGGUCAGGCAGGCUGUCUGGCAGAAGUUCACAGAGCUGUGUCAGCAGCACAGCCUGACGGGAAUCCACAUCUGUUCAAAGCCAAAGAUGGUGUUCUUAACCCUCAUGCUCUUCAUCAAUGCUUUGCUGGCAGCCUGAAAGAACACUGGCACUUCCCAAAAGUAGCUCAUUUCUUUUUUUGGGAUUAAAUAUACACUCUGGACCUCAUACAUAUGAAAUAUGUUAGGGCUGUUUAUCAGAGGAUGGAAAACUUUUAAGGUUUGGAAACAUUUUAUUAAAGAACUCAUGAAUAUGGGAAAAUAAUAAGCAUUCAACAACUUUGAAUUGAAAUGUUUUUGAGAUUUUAACAAACAAGAAUUAAAUAAAACAUAAAUUUAGGGAGUUACAGCAACAUUUUAAAUAAUUAAUCUAUUCAUGGUAUCAAUUUUGAAAGAUAUUGAUACCUUAUCAGAAGAAUGAUGUUUCCUUACUGUUUUUGCAAAAGACGCUCAUGACCAGUCUCGUUCAUAGGAGAGUCUAAUUUCAGAGUGGAUGAAAGACUCAGAUUUUUGCAGCUGAAGAGACUUUAGAAGUCAUCCAGAUAAAUCACUCUGAGUUUUCUAGACAGAGGCUUGUCUCAUUUUUCCUUAAACAUCUCUAGUGAUGGAAUAUGCUCUGCCUUCUGGGGCAUCACAUUUCAUCCUAACAGCUCUUGUUAGUUCUUUCUUUCAAUUGAGUCCAAAUCUAUAUCUUUAAUUUCCACCCAAUUGCUUCCUUUUCUUUGCUUUUCCAAAUAACAGCCCAAAUUUUUUCUUUCUCUUGCCCCAAUUCCCUAUUUUUCUCAAGUACUCCAUAUGUAACAUGGUUCUGGGUCCUUUUGUCAUUCUGAUAGAUUUUCUUAGUAUAUAUGUUCCUUUUUUUGAAGUUCAUUCUUAAGUGUGUGAUUCCAAACAAAAGACAAUGCACAAAGAACUGUUAGUAAAUUGCAGAAUAAAAUAGCACUAUCGUUUUCCUUGAUUCACCAUGUUUUAUGUGAAUAACACAUGAAAAUACUAACCACAAAACAUACAAUAAAAAUUAUCAGCCUGAUGUUUACUCAGACUAAAUGUAAUGAAAAACUUAAUCAAUAAUGCAACAAUACAACAUGAGGAUUAUAGUUAAUAGAACUGUAUUAGAGUGUUUCGUUCAAUAAAUAGAUUUUUAGCUGCUCUUGUCACACAAAAAAGUGUGUGAGAUGCUUCACUAUAGUAACCAUAUACAUAGACAUAUAAUCAUAUACGUAUCACAUAACAUCGUGUUGUAACCCUCAAAUAUAUGCAAUAAAAUUUAUUUGAAAAACUAAUAUGACAAUACAAUUGCUCUUGCUACCAGCGCAGUUUGAAUUCAAAAUUUUAGACAAAUGAUAGACUACAGAAAAUACUUGGUCAUAGAAAACGUUAGUCUUUUUAGACUGCAUCUACGUACGUCAACUACCUUGAUGUUUUUCAAUUAUGAUUUUGUUACUUGAAUUUCUCCCUCUUCUCACCCAUGCUUGCUUGAUGACUGCCCAUUAUUCUGUCACCUCACCGUCUCUGUCCUCUAAGAAACUGCCCCUAAAUAUUUCAGCUUUAGUUGAGCUGCUUCUUUCUCGAAUUCUUAUUGAAAGUUAAAAUUUUGUUAAAAAGAUCUUCAGUUAAUAAUCUACCAAUAAAAAAUGAAUAAUGUUGAUGUUUAUGACAUCUAUUAUUUAUACAAAAUCUAACAUUACCAUUUCUAAAGAAAAAAUCUAAACAUUAAUUGAAGAGAACCAUAAAGCUCAACAUAGUACUGCUCCAAGUAGUUUUGUAAUACAAGUUAUCAUUUAAUACUGAAUACCUUGGAUUAAUUUUAAGACUUGAUAAAUACAUUCUAAUCUCAUAACCCAGUUUUAUCCACAAUAAGUGAACUAUUCUUAAUAUUGGAAAUUGAGUAAAUUGUUGAAAGUCGUAGUGUAAUGAAUGACAUGCAAUCUAAUAGAAGCACUUAACAAUUCUUUUAAUAAAUGAGCAUAUUCAAAGCCCACAAGACUUUGGUUCUGCGUUGUAAAUUAAUCAAAAGGUGAACAGUUCCCUUCUUUGUUUUCAAUAAAUACAUUUAUUCAAUUCUUUUCAGUAAAAAUGGUUAUUUCCCCAGAAUUCUAAUUAAAAUUCCAGUUAAAUACUUAAUUCUUUUGACCUCUAAACAAUAUAGUUCGUUAACAUGUAUUUGUGCAUUCAAGUUCUUAUUCCAUGUAAUGUGCAUUUGUAUAGUCUCCCAGUAUAAACUGAAGUUUGCUUGCUUGGAAAAAACAUAUUGUUUUCACCCACUGCAAGAUUUUAGAGGGAGCAUAGGGUCUGCAGCCCGAUCCAGCUGAAGGAAUGCUUAUCUCCAGUAUCUCUGUCUUGUUUAUUGCAAACAAAGCUCAUUUUUGUCCUUGUCUGACGGAUUUUCUUUUCAAUGAAACAUUUUGGUCUUUUCAUAAAUGUAAUUUUUGUCUAUUACUUAACCACUCUGUACCUCUAUUUCUUCAUCUGUAAAAGAAGAGUAAGAGUGGUUCUUUCUUACAGGGUGUUGUGAGUGUUAAAUGUAUUAAUACGUACGAAGUAUUUUGAACAUAGUGAAUAGCGUGCUGUUAGUAGCUUGUGAAAGUGAAUAAUAUGCUGUCAAUAGCACAUAGCGAAUAAUGUGCUGUUAGUAGUAGUAGCUUGUGAAAGUGCCUCUGUUACCAGGUAGUAAGGGAAUCCACGGUUCUUAGUUGUCCAGGGAGAAAGAUUUCGGCCAAGUGACAAUUCAGAUAACAGAGAGCUUUAUUGAAGGGAAAUCGAGAGCAGAGAGUUUAUAGAUAGACGGUACACUGAAAGAUAAGGCCGAACGGGCUACCGGAAGAGGGUGAGCCAGCAGCAGCCCGAGACUUGGGUUUUGAUGCUGUUGGUUUUUUUUCUUGAAGUUAGCUCCUAUUUCUUUAAUCUCUGCCUUUUUUCUCUGUCUAGUUUUCCCGCUCCUGUCUUAAAUCCCUGACUUUUCCCCUCCUAGUUCCUACGCCAGGCUUGUAGGACCCUCCCUUACUAUUAGUUGGUGCGCAUACGUGCGCUCGGUGUUGGAUCUCAAGUUUGUCUAAUGGCUGCGUUGCUCAUUACCGCCACCCCCAGGAAGGUUGUUUAGCGGGUCGAAUCUAAACUGUGCCUGCGAAUCUCUGACAAAUUUUCUCCUUUGAGCUCUUCCCCUUUAUCAGCAUAUACCUAGUGAGAUUCUGACACCUUAACUGUAGAAUGAGUGAUUACUGGGCAUCUUAAGGAGCUCUGCUUCCUGUAUAGUUUUUUUCCCUCCUCUUUGCUCAUAUCUGCACGCAUGUUUCGGGUGGUUUCUGGGGUGUGAGAUUAUCCAGACCUCCUUUUUCUCAGGGGCUCUUGCUCCUGGUCAUGUCUAGCUCUAGCUGUCUGCCUACUGUAACACUACCACAGCACAACACUAGUUGAAGUAAUGCUAAAUAAUCAAUAAGCCAGAUUUCCCCUCUGCAACCCAAAUCUAUAGCAAUGGUAGUCAUUUUGCUGACAUAGAACAACAACAAUUUGGUGAUAUUUUUUGCCUCUUUGCUCCAUUAAGACUCCUGGAUGAACUAUAAACUCAACUUAGGUUUAUACAAUAGAAUUUGGAUUAAAGAAAUAUCAAGCAGAAAAAUUUGUUCAGCAGGUGGAAGUAUAUUAAAAUCAGGGAAAGUAUUAUUUUAAAAUUUGGCUUUUUAAUAUAUUUACAUUCAUUUUUAUUAUCAUUAAAAUUUUUAUUUGUUUCAAAU